rnacentral:rRNA from 1 species
CCUACGGGGUGCUGCAGUCGAGAAUCAUUCACAAUGGGGGAAACCCUGAUGGUGCGACGCCGCGUGGGGGAAUGAAGGUCUUCGGAUUGUAAACCCCUGUCAUGUGGGAGCAAAUUAAAAAGAUAGUACCACAAGAGGAAGAGACGGCUAACUCUGUGCCAGCAGCCGCGGUAAUACAGAGGUCUCAAGCGUUGUUCGGAAUCACUGGGCGUAAAGCGUGCGUAGGCUGUUUCGUAAGUCGUGUGUGAAAGGCGCGGGCUCAACCCGCGGACGGCACAUGAUACUGCGAGACUAGAGUAAGGGAGGGGGAACCGGAAUUCUCGGUGUAGCAGUGAAAUGCGUAGAUAUCGAGAGGAACACUCGUGGCGAAGGCGGGUUCCUGGACAUUAACUGACGCUGAGGCACGAAGGCCAGGGGAGCGAAAGGGAUUAGAUACCCCGGUAGUC